UCAAAUUAUUUGCUGCUUUUACCAAUUACAUUAAUUAUUUAAUAAGCACUUAUCUUUCCUAGCAUUGGGCUAAUUUCUUUGAUUGUAUUAUUUAACUUACUUUCCUCAAGAAUCAAUAGAGCAUUUUUUAUUUUAUUUUUAUGUUUUAAAAAUUUAUUUAUUUAUUCUUGAGAGACACACAGAGAGAGAGGCAGAGACACAGGCAGAGGGAGAAACAGGCUUCCUAUGGGGAGGCUGAUGAGGGACUCAGUCCCAGGACCCCAGGAUCAUGACCUGAGCCAAAGGCAGACACUCAACCACUGAGCCACCCCGGUCCCCUAGAGUAGAUUUUAUUUCCAUUUUAAGCUAAAAAGGUGUCUUAUACAGGAUAAUUAACAUGCCAAAUAUUUCUCUCAUUUCUUUUUUUGCAUAGCUUGGUAAACAAGACUCAGAGAUUUGGACUCUGCCCCUUCCUCAAUGGUGGAAGAGAAGUAACAGUGAAGUUGGAGCAUUUCUGGCAACAGUUCACCAAAUCCAAAUGCAAAUUUAUCCCAUGAUCUGCUCCGUGGCCUGAAAAUAUGACCUUCAAAUAUCACUAAUCUUCUAAAGAACAAGAUAAUAGGAAAAUAGAAUAUCACCAGAAAGGAUAUUUUGAGAAAAAUACCAUUUACAAGUUAGUAUUUUAAAAUGAAAUGUUAUCAGCACUAAAAGGAGCUCCAACUCUCGAGGAUGACUGAUUUAUAGCUGAAACAAAGAAAAAAAUUUAAUAAGACUCCUAGUAAAUUGGUUGUUUGCACAUUGACAAAAUAAAAGUCUGAGUUGUCUGAAAAGUUAUCA
rnacentral:lncRNA from 12 species